rnacentral:rRNA from 1 species
GAUGAACGCUGGCGGCGUGCCUAAUACAUGCAAGUCGAGCGAAUGGAUUAAGAGCUUGCUCUUAUGAAGUUAGCGGCGGACGGGUGAGUAACACGUGGGUAACCUGCCCAUAAGACUGGGAUAACUCCGGGAAACCGGGGCUAAUACCGGAUAACAUUUUGAACCGCAUGGUUCGAAAUUGAAAGGCGGCUUCGGCUGUCACUUAUGGAUGGACCCGCGUCGCAUUAGCUAGUUGGUGAGGUAACGGCUCACCAAGGCUACGAUGCGUAGCCGACCUGAGGGGGUGAUCGGCCACACUGGGACUGAGACACGGCCCAGACUCCUACGGGAGGUAGCAGUAGGGAAUCUUCCGCAAUGGACGAAAGUCUGACGGAGCAACGCCGCGUGAGUGAUGAAGGCUUUCGGGUCGUAAAACUCUGUUGUUAGGGAAGAACAAGUGCUAGUUGAAUAGGCUGGCACCUUGACGGUACCUAACCAGAAAGCCACGGCUAACUACGUGCCAGCCGCCGCAGUAA